rnacentral:tRNA from 1 species
GGCAGCAUGGCAUAAUGGUUUGAGUUUUGGACUAUGACUCUGGAGACUAGGGUUUGAAUCCCAGCUCAGCUA